GUUUUUGGCGGCUGUGCGCAGGGGCACUUUCGAGUGCGCCGGGUUUUGGUGGAUUGGCCUGGUCUUCCACACCUGCGUACAGCUGCCACCCUC
rnacentral:antisense_RNA from 1 species